GAUGAAGAACGUAGCGAAAUGCGAUAAGUAAUGUGAAUUGCAGAAUUCAGUGAAUCAUCGAAUCUUUGAACGCACAUUGCGCCCGCCAGUAUUCUGGCGGGCAUGCCUGUUCGAGCGUCAUUUCAACCCUCAGGGCCCUUUUGGACCUGGCGUUGGGGCUCGGCCGCUACCCUGCGGCCGUCCCCGAAAGAUAGUGGCGGUCUCGCUGUAGCCUCCUCUGCGUAGUAGUUACAUCUCGCACUGGAACGCGGCGCGGCCAUGCCGUUAAACACCCCACUUCUCAAGGUUGACCUCGGAUCAGGUAGGAAUACCCGCUGAACUUAAGCAUAUCAAUAGCGGAGGA
rnacentral:misc_RNA from 1 species